GACGAACGCUGGCGGCGUGCUUAACACAUGCAAGUCGAACGAAGUGGCGAACGGGUGAGUAACGCGUAAUCAACCUGCCCUUCAGAGGGGGACACCAGUUGGAAACGACUGCUAAUACCGCAUACUGAAGGAGGGGAUUGCGUCUGAUUAGCUAGUUGGAGGGGUAACGGGCCACCAAGGGGAAGAUCAGUAGCCGGUCUUGGAGGAUGAACGGGCAAAAUGGGACUGGGAAACGGCCCAGACUCCUACGGGAAGCAGCAGUUGGGGAUCUUCGGACAUGGAGGAAAGUCUGACGGCGCAACGGCGCGUGGGUGGUGACGGCCUUCGGGUUGUAAAGCUCUGUUAAGCGGGACGCGGUACCGGAAUAGAAAGCCACGGCUAACUACGUGCCAGCCGCCGCGGUAAUUC
rnacentral:rRNA from 1 species